AGCGAACGCUGGCGGCAGGCCUAACACAUGCAAGUCGAACGGAUCCUUCGGGAUUAGUGGCGGACGGGUGAGUAACACGUGGGAACGUGCCCUUUGGUUCGGAACAACUCAGGGAAACUUGAGCUAAUACCGGAUGUGCCCUUCGGGGGAAAGAUUUAUCGCCAUUGGAGCGGCCCGCGUCUGAUUAGCUAGUUGGUGAGGUAACGGCCCACCAAGGCGACGAUCAGUAGCUGGUCUGAGAGGAUGAUCAGCCACACUGGGACUGAGACACGGCCCAGACUCCUACGGGAGGCAGCAGUGGGGAAUCUUGCGCAAUGGGCGAAAGCCUGACGCAGCCAUGCCGCGUGAAUGAUGAAGGUCUUAGGAUUGUAAAAUUCUUUCAGCGGGGAUGAUAAUGACGGUACCCGCAGAAGAAGCUCCGGCUAACUUCGUG
rnacentral:rRNA from 1 species